AUCUCACACACAAUGACAGAGGCAAGGGGGCACGGGGGUGUGCGGAAGCACCCACUUGCUCCCAGAAAUUCCACCAACGACCUCCACCAAGGAUCUCAUUCCUUCCUCCUCCCGAUCGUUCCGUCUCCUCCGAUCUCGACACCAGAGCUCCCAUCGAACCCUACCUCUGUUGCAAACUUCAAUGAGAUGGAGGUGGACGGCGACAAUAGAGAUGUGGCCGACGAGUAGGAUGGUCGAGACGGUGGGGGCGAAGAGGAAGUGAAUAUCAAAUGGGAGGUUUGUAAGUGUGGUAAGACGUUCCAAGCCUCCGACUACAUUCCGUACCUAGAUAAUUGGAAGGUCAUCAAGAAGCUCAAGUCACGACAACACAUGGAGCACCGGGAGUAGCAUUGCCCCAAGCCUAGCCUCAGGUGUCUUGUGUCGCUACCGUGGAGGUACAAUGUGUCGAUUCCAUGGCCCAAGAGCAGAGACAUGGUGAGAUUGAUUCUUGGGUAAGCCGGCUAUGGUUUUCAUUUUCCCCAAUUCUCUCAUUGAUGGUCGCAAUGUAUCUUAUUACCCCUGAUGAUUGCCCUAGCUAGUUUCUCGUUGCUUCCGAUUCCCGUGUUGACUCGUACUAAUCUGUAAAGGAGGAACGUGCUACCACUUUGAGAAGAAUAUGGUAUGAUAAGUUAGCAUCUGUCGAGUAUGAUUAUCUCAGAUCACAUCCAUGGAACUUUGAUAAGUGUGAAAAUAGAAGGGAAAAUGACGGAAGUAUUCUGCUUGCUAUCAGAUGAUAUUUUGGUUGCUUUGGAGCUUUGCCUGUCAUUCAUUUAGUCUUCCUAAAUUCUCUAUUUUGCAGUCAACAGAUUUGGUAUGAUAAUGUUCCUCACACCAAACUCGUUGAAUAUAAGAAAGACCAAAACUGAGUACGGAGGUGAUUACUUGGUUUUCCUUCUUAGUGGAACUCAAUUUAAAGAUGGUGUUUCUAAAUACAUUGAGUUCAUCGAGCAAAAUCUUCUAGCCAUCAAUGGGGGAGGGCACACAAGGGGUCCUUGAUGUUGGUUGUGGUGUUGCAAGCUUUGGUGGAUAUUUAAGGGAUAGGAUCCGAUACAAUUUGCAUUAGAGUGUGGUAUUCCAGCCUUUUUAUCAGUAAUUGGAACUCAGAAGCUGUUAUUUCCUAAUAAUGUAUUUGAUUUGAUUCGUUGUUUACUCUGUAUAGUCCACUGGGAUGCAGAUGGUGGAAAGCCACUGGAGCUCAAUAGGAUUCUUAGACCUGGAGGUUUCUUUGUUUGGUCUCCAACACAUGUUUACCACUACUGAGAGGGACCAAAGCAUCUGGAAGUGUAGUGACAUUUGUCAAUUUCUUUAAAUUUCAUGAUCUCCUUUGUCAUCAGCAAGACUACGUGGCUUUCGAAAGCUACACUAUCUUAAAUUUUUAACUAGUACCCUUUUAAAUUUU